rnacentral:rRNA from 1 species
UACGGAGGGUGCAAGCGUUAUCCGGAAUCACUGGGCGUAAAGGGCGCGUAGGUGGUCUGUUAAGUCUGGCGUUAAAGCCUGGGGCUCAACCCCAGAUCAGCGUUGGAUACUGGCAGGCUAGACGGUUGGAGAGGCGAGUGGAAUUACCAGUGUAGCGGUGGAAUGCGUAGAUACUGGCAGGAACACCCAUUGCGAAGGCAGCUCGCUGGACAACACGUGACACUGAGGCGCGAAAGUGUGGGGAGCAAACCGGAUUAGAUACCCU